ensembl:lncRNA
AUGGUCCAGAUGUCGCUGACAAAGGAGGAGUACAGCUGGUUUUCCGACUUCCUCAAAUUCAAGCACUGUCUCUUAGGGGGAAAGAAGGCCCAGCACUUCUUUUUCAAUUCAACAAACACUCAGAUGAAGAACCUGCCUGCCUACCUGAGGGAGGUGUGGAAGGAGAUGGGUCUGCCCGAAUGUCCUUCAUUCACUGACCUGAGGACCUCCAUUGUCACUCAUGUAAAAAACAUGCUCCCAAAGGUUGACAGGGAAAGGGUGGCCAACUUCAUGUGCCACAACAUCCAGACGGCAGACAAAUAUUAUGCCAUGAAUUUAAAUCCAACCCAAGCAAAUGAAACCAGGGCACUCUUUGAGGCUGCACUGAAGGGGGAAGAUAACACAGUCGCCGCAGAGAACCAGCCCUCCACCUCAGGAGAAAGAAAGCAGAAGGUGAGAGAGGAUGCCUCCCUCUCCGACGGGAGCACCACCCCUGAAGAGACCAAGGUGAUGUACCAGGAGUCUGGCACGUCCGCCGGUGACUCGGAAGAGGAGGAAGAGGAUGAAGAUGAGGAACAGAUGGCCAGACAACUUCCAGAGACACCUUCCAAGGUGACCAAUCCUCAGGUGGAGAUGGAACUUACCCCAAAGAGGAAGCGGAGCAUCUGCACACGCCGCAUGGAGGUCGCCAUCAGCCCCAUGCUAGUCUCACCCCUCAAAGUGAGGCUCAAGUCGCCCCCCCACCAGUCCCUCAUUGUCACAUUAAAAGGGAUGCAACAACUAAACUCAAAUAAAGUCAGACUAAAAAAUGCCAUUGCCUCAAGGAGGUUAAAGCUGCAGGAGAAGGUGCAAAAGAGAGGAGGGGACCCCUGAUGCAGCUCGAAGGAAGGGGAGCCGACCAACAACAAGACUUCCUCUUCCAAAUAGUCAUGUAGAUUGUUUUAGACUCUCACAUUUAUACUGUUCUGAUUUUGUUUGGUUUGAUUUUCAAUUUUGGUGUGCUUGUUUACAUUUUAGAAGUGUAAAAUGUGUGUAAUUUAGUCUAACUGUCUGUUCAAUUUUCUAUUUUGGUGUGAUUCUUUAUAAUGUAAAGGUUUGUUCUGUUUUAUUAAAUAACUAGUUUAGUAAUUAUUUGUGUUGUGCUUUCUUUAAGGUUAUAUUCUAACUGUCUGUUCAAUUUUCUAUUUUGGUGUGAUUCUUUAUAAUGUAAAGGUUUGUUCUGUUUUAUUAAAUAACUAGUUGAGUAAUUAUUUGUGUUGUGCUUUCUUUAAGGUUUAUAUUUAGUUUGUCACUUAAUUUGUAAGUGUUAAACAUUCACUGUCUUGUGUUGUUGUCUGUGAAGGUAGGAACAAAUAUUUAGGCAUUAUUGGCAUGGGAAUCAUAUGUUUACAUUGGCAAAGCAAAUUAAGUAGAUAAUAAACAAAAGUGAAAUAAACAAUAAAGUCCUGCUGUAGACUGUACUACUGCUGUUCAGGAAGCACAAUUUGAACUAGAAACUUACACAGACAGGCUGAAAUAAACACUAAAAAAUAACAAAUGGCAUCACCGUAAUAUCCCGCUUGACCGUGGCUCGCUCGGUCUGAGCGCAGCGACCAUGAGAAAAGUAAGCCCAAAAUGAAGCCUGCCCCACAACGUCAUUUGCUUUUGGGUGACAGUGAGAGAACCGUUAGGUUUAGAAGGACAAUUCAACCACAGGAAUGUUCCUAACGUCCUUCCGAUCCAUGCAAGCCUUACCUUGACCGUGUGGCAUCAACCCUUAAAAAUAAAACAGGGUUUUUUGAUCUCACAGAUUACAAUGACAUCUCUCCCCAUAGGAAUACAUUGACAGCUCCCCUAAAUUCAACCUGGAGCCUAUGUGGGUUAAUAAUGCCUUAUGAACCUGUCUUCAAUGCCAAUCCAUCAGGCCACUAUGAGGUCUACCUGUGUCGAUUCUAAGCUUCCUGGAGCAACCGGAAGUGGUUAAAUUCACCCAAAAUGUAUUUUGAUGUACAUAACCUGCAAAUGUGAAAAUGACUGCAUUCAACCCUGGGUAGAUCAGUCAAUUCUUAACAUAAAGACUUUAGGAUUCUCAGGAUUCUGUAAGAGAAUACCCAAAGCAAGAUAUUUGUUUACCUAUAGCUUCCUGUGCCAACCGGAAGUGCCUUUAAUUGGUGUCUCAGGGGCUUCUCCUUAGGAGGGAUGGGGACACCACCACGGGACAGACCCCACACUCAUCGCUAGAGAUCGAACUUCAGACUCCCUUCAAAACCACUGAACCCCUCAACACACCGAAAGAGAUUACGGUGCACACCCUUAGAGGGAGCCGGAACAGGAUAACUCCCUCCACCAUCACAGAGACACAGAGGAGGAGGAACUAUCCAACACCCAGGGAGAGAGAACAAGUGACGUCAGUCGAACACAGUCAGAAAGAGGAGGUGGAAGAGGCGUUAGAUAGAGGAGGAUAUUACCCCAGAGGCCAUUCCUCCUGUUCAUGUGAGCAAGAAAGAGCAGAAGGCUUCUGAUCAGCCAAAUGGCAGGCAGAGGGAGAGGUCAUAGUGAUUCACACCCACAGAGAGAAAGACAACCCACACAACCUCUUGGUUGAGAUGAACCACACAGGUAGAGGCAGAGGGCCUUCAGGGCUAGCCAGUCAGCCUGCCUGCUCUGAUCCUCAAGUCAAUUGUAUAUAAAUUCAUGUUCAUUAAAGAUUUUUAUUCAAGAAUUGACAAGUCCCAUUUCGUUAAAGGGGUCACCCUUUUCCUGCUACAAACACAACUUGCAUAUCAUCACAGACUAGGCCAAAACGUUAAUCUUUUAACCUUGCCUGAAUAAAACAAUGCAUUUUUUAUAGUGAGCAAGAGUUGCUCCUUUUCC